UAAAAUUAAGGGGAUUGGGUCGGGGGAUAGGCGGAUAAAGGGGGAUCUUGGGGGAUAAAAUACGAGGAGAGGAGAAAAACGAGGGGAGGGAGAGUUUCUUAAUUUUAAAACGAGGGGAGGAAGAGUCCCCUUCCUUUCUCUUCCCGCCCCGCCCCCUUCCCACCUUUCCCUUCCGCCUUUCCCCCGACCCAAUCCCCUUAAUUUUAU